GAUGGCCGUAUGGCUGCCCUUUGAUACUGGGGAAACUCGUCGAAGGGAGGAAAGUCCGGGCUCCAUAAGAACACGAUGCCGGGUAACGCCCGGCGGGGGAAACCCUAGGGAAAGUGCCACAGAAAUGAAACCGCCAAACAAUGCCAAGCAGUGUUAUGGUAAGGAUGAAAAGGUGCGGUAAGAGCGCACCGCGGCACUGGUAACAGUGUCGGCAUGGCAAACCCCAUCGGGAGCAAGACCGAAUAGGAGUGGCUAAUGCGAGUUCUUACGCCGCCACUCGGGUGGGUCGCAAGAGGCGCUUGGCAACAAGCGUCCCAGAUGAAUGGCCAUACGUCAAAUGCUUGACGACAGAACCCGGCUUACAGGCCAUCUGG
rnacentral:RNase_P_RNA from 1 species